GACCAGACUCCUACGGGAGGCAGCAGUGGGGAAUAUUGCACAAUGGGGGAAACCCUGAUGCAGCGACGCCGCGUGAGCGAUGAAGUAUUUCGGUAUGUAAAGCUCUAUCAGCAGGGAAGAAAAUGACGGUACCUGACUAAGAAGCCCCGGCUAACUACGUGCCAGCAGCCGCGGUAAUACGUAGGGGGCAAGCGUUAUCCGGAUUUACUGGGUGUAAAGGGAGCGUAGACGGCUGUGCAAGCCAGAUGUGAAAGCCCGGGGCGCAACCCCGGGACUGCAUUUGGAACUGUGUGGCUGGAGUGUCGGAGAGGCAGGCGGAAUUCCUAGUGUAGCAGUGAAAUGCGUAGAUAUUAGGAGGAACACCAGUGGCGAAGGCGGCCUGCUGGACGAUGACUGACGUUGAGGCUCGAAAGCGUGGGGAGCAAACAGGAUUAGAUACCCCAGUA
rnacentral:rRNA from 1 species